GUGCUGCCUUUGAGCAGUGCCUGAGUGUGGCGCUGGGGUUAAGCUGCUGCACCAGAGCACGUGAUUAUGCAUAACUGGGGCCUUCAGCUCCCUGUGGGGUUUGGGGGGCCCUUUAAACCACAGUGACAUGA